ACCAACCAAAAACUCAAUCAUCAUUUUCUCAGCAACAUCAAAACUAACCCAAAUCAUUAAAGAAUCUAAAUAUGCAAUUCCAAGCUAAACCCAAUUAUAUAAUCGUGUUAAUUCGACUACCCAAGAAUCAAAAGUUGAAAAUUUGGGGAAAUUGGAGGUAGAUGAGGAUAAGAUAUUAAACCCUAGAAGCUGAGAGAAAGGAGAAGAAUAAAAAUUGGGGAAGACUGUGAGAUUAGAAGUACCUGAGUUCUGAAUUGGCUCAAUGGAUUCGAAGAGUCUCUGAAAAGCUUAUGGUGAAGUGUAGAAAAAAAGAACAUAAUGGGAGUGAGAGACUGCGUCGAAGAAACAAGAGGACACUAGGUGUAAAAUGUAAAACUCAAUUAGGGUAGUUUGGACAAUGAAAAUCUAUCUCCUUUUUGUUUUAUUUUUUAAGAAAAAACUAAGCGUGAUAAUUCUAGUAGAAGAUAAUGAAGAGAUAUGGUGCAACUGAGGAGGUCCUGAAGCAAACUUUGAAGAAGAAGGUUCAUCGAUCACGAUCAGCUUGUUGAAAUUGACAAAGAAGUACUUGAACUCUCGCUGAACAAAAUAGUUUACCCCUAUUGGACUUGCAAGGAUCUAGAGCUAGUUCACAAAGAAUACAAGAUGCAUCUCUGGCUCUUUUUGUGGGGACGAAUAAUGUCAAGAGCAUUGAGUACAAUGUAGGUGGUAAUAAGCCACCUCCAGAUUGAGGUGAAGUUAAGUGAGGGAGUUGGUGGUGAUGCAGAAGAUGCUAUUUAUUCCGAGUGGAGUUUUAAUUUAUAAGACUGAGAAAUAGUAUGGUGGUGUGUAAAUAUAUAUAUGGUGGGAGGCUUAAUAGUUUCGAGGAAAGUAAAUUAAUGAAGAGAAUGAUGUUGAAGAAGUUGUGCCAAAGGUGGGAAGACUAGUAGUCUAGUACUGUGAGUGAGAAAUUGGAAGAAAUUGAUCUUGGCUCGCAGUACGACUUUGAUUCAUGUUCAGGGAUUGCUCAAUGCUCAUUGAGUACGUUAUUGCUAAUCAGAUGAGACCAACUUUCCUAUAGGAUCACAGAUUUGGAUCUAUUUCUGAAACAAGUAACUUAAUAGCCAAUAUAUAUAUUUUUGUUAGAGCCUUUCCCUUAAAAGUUAAACUAAUCACAUGAAAAGGUGCUUAUGAAAUGUGAUGAUAUUUUGGCUAAAUUAGUUGUCUUGUUCAGUUUGUUUAUCUUGAAGUUAUAAUUUGUUGAGAAAAUUAGAGAUAAGCCCAAUAAUGGAGAUACUCUUUGAAAUUAGAUCCACAUAUAAUUUUUUUUAAUCUACACCCAAUGUGAACCAUAGAUUGACUAUGUUACCCUUUUAAUAUGAGUACACAAAUCUUCCUUAAUUAUAGUUGCUGAUUGUAAUUCAAAUUCAUCUUCAUUCCCAUAAUUGAUUACUCUAUUAAAUUCAAGUGAUUACUCUAUACAUGUCAAAAAUAUUCCCAUUGAGUCAUUUCAAUAGUAUCCAUUUUUUUUUAUAAAAUCCAAUUAUGAAUUAUGACUUCAAAAUCUGGAGAGAAGAAGUUUGUCUAGGCAAGCAUGCAUACCAUACUUCUUAGUUGUGCUUAUGAAGAACAUUUUUGAAAUUCAUAAUUCUCCUGCAGAUAACAUUUAAACAGCAAACUGUAUCGUAAACAAAAAGUACCGCUGCAUCUAAAUGUAAUUUCCCUACUAUUAAGCGUCGGUGGAUUUUACUGUUCACGGCGAGUACUGUUCACAUGAGGUUCGUUUUAAUUGCAAAAAAUGCCACCGGUUCGGGUUAUUUGUUGGGCUUCGCGGGUUUUUUGUGUGGUUGCAUGCUUUACCACCUGUUUUAGUGUUGAAGAAUUGAAGGGGGAGGUGCUACGAUCUGAGAGAAAAUAGUGUUUAGGACGGCUGGGUCUGCUCUCUGUUUGAGUUGUUUCACUCAUUCUUUUCUUGUGCUCUUCGUGGUGGCAGCAUUGGUGUGUGAGAGAAGAAUUGGGGGUUUCUUUGGGUCGUCUGCAACUGCAUUUUAUUCUCCAAAAGCUCUCUGCCUCUGUCUUCUUCUCUCUAUUUGAGGUGGGUUGAGUUUCUUUUUCAUAGAAUUUAUCUGGAACUGGAAUUUAAGGUUGUGUGUGAUUGAUUCUGUUUGAUUUUGUUUUGGUUUUUUUGGUUUCGUUGUUGUUUGCUCGAUUCUUUUUGAGUUUGUUUGGUCUUUUUUAUUGUACUAUGAUUAUUUUAUUGUACUGCUAUUUUGGUUCGAUUGGCCUGUGGUUUUUUGUUUUCCAAUUGAUGAGACCAUUGGCUUUCAAUAUGUUUUGUAAUCAUUUUUGGUUCUUAUUGCUGCGUUCGGAACUGUCACUUUUUGCAAGUCUUAAUUUAGUUUCUUCCAAUUGCUGGAUCUGCUCCAGUGGUAUGGUUAUUGGAUCUUUAGAGCUGUAACAUACUUUUAUAAGAGUGAUAGGGGUAAAGAAAUUACAUUGUUGGUUGGGUUAACUCAGUUGAUCAUCAAGAGUUUGGGCAUAGGGAUUUCGUUUUCUUGCAAAAGCUAAACAAGGGUUACCUGACUAAUUUCAACUUGCCAAGGUUUUGUGUGGCUGCUCUGAGAUCCACCCUCCUCUACAGAAGGUUAGAUUGCAUAUAUUGAUUCAAAGGGCCUCAUAGUUUUGAUGAUGGAGAAGGCAGUGGAGUCUUUCAUAGUGUUAAUGAUAAGGAAGGAGUAACUGUUGCCGGAGUGGAAGUUAAUUCACCUAUAUGAUGCUAACAAACAAAGAAUACAGAAUUUGACCUGAGUAAAUGAAAUGCCGACCCCUGAAGUCUAAAGGCAUGUUCAGUUAACAACAAUGAUAAUAAUUCCCUUCAUUCCAUUGUAAAUUCUAAGUUCUGGUAUCGUUCUUACCACCCUUUUGAUAGUUUUUCUUUUACAGGGACAUUGAAGGGUGCUAAUUCCUCAUGGCGUAGCUUUUUGUUUCUAUGUAGUAAUUUCAUUCUGAGACAAUUCAGGAUAGUGAGUGGAUUUUCAUUCAGGCUGUGUGUAUUUUUGGCAUUGACCAACAAUUUAUUGUAAUUUGAUGGUUUGUUUUAGGUUAUAGGCUUGCUGUAUGUUUCUCAUCUAAAUUUGUUACAAUUGACAUUUUCUUCUGUGUACUCUCAGGUUACUUAAGAGAACCUUAAUGCUGAUAAAUGAUGAAUGAAAAGUUGAAGAAGAGGUUGAAAGGUUGAACAUGUUGGGGAUUCAAAGUAUAAGGAUCUGGUGCCAAAUUUGCUGGUUAGACUUUCAAUAUAUUUAAAUGACUAUAAAAUCUUGCUGAAUGAAAAAAAAACGACGUGCAAGGGCAACCUGAAAAAUGAACUCGAGCAUAUUAUGCAAUCCAUUGGAUUCAUGAUGACUUAUAAAUCUUAUGUCAUAUCAUUGUUUUCUAAUUAUAGACACAGUGGUGAAAUAUGAAUAGUUGUUAUUGACUACUUUCAUUUAAAAACAGGCAUGCUGGUUUUUAUCACACUGCACACAUCUUGGUAAGUUAACCCAAACAAUUGAGACCUCAAGGGGUUAAAAACAAUUGCAAGGCUCUUGCAACAUGUCAUAGAAGAGGACUGAGAAGCUUAUCGGGUAUGCUUGCGUUUUUUGUAUUGAAUGAGUUCUAUUUUUUAUUUAUUUAGUAGAUGGCUAGGUUUUUCAAACUGUGUUUACAUUGGUGAACUGUGAGAUUAUUGAUCAUAUGAAAUACUGUGGUAGUUUUCUGAUUUAGGGAUUUGUUCCAAGUUUGUCUGUAUUUUUGCUAUAUCUUUCAUCUCCUUCUUGGUCUAAUGAGAUUUUAAUGUGAUUUUCUGGAAUCAUAAUGGGAAUAAAUUUGAGUAAAAUUUGUUGGCAAUGGUAGCAAAUUUUGGUUUUGAAUUGCCGAUUAGGGUUUUAGUGUUAUUAUUCAAGUGGUUUGUAGUUUGUAGAGUGAGUGUGGUUUCACAUUUCAUGAAAGAGUGUUGAUUAUUUUCUUAUGGUUUGGUUUGUUUCUGGAUUCAUGCUUGGUGAUUCAUUAACUGAGGUGCCUUGAGUAAGAAAUUGUGAUCCGGUUCUAUUCCAGCUAAUGAAGAUAAUACUAUAGUAAAAUAUGUUUUUGUUGAUAUCAAAUUGUUAGUUGCUUUUUAUUAAGAAUGGUCACAAGGAACUGGAUUUGCAAUUUUUCUUAUGAUGGUAGUUUUCCAAUUGUUUUUUUUUUCAGUGAGGAGGUGUACAUACAUUGUGAGAGUGUGUAGCCUUUUGCUGCUGCAUCAAUAUACUACUGAUAUAUAAGAUAACAGCAUGUUUGUUCUAACCUUGAUAUUAAGCAGGGCAUCUAAUGCGUAUGUCUUCUUAUAUUAUAAUAAUAUUGGCAGGAUAUGCCAAAUAAAUAAGAAAACAUGUAAAUAAAAGUCAUCUAAUUGAUAUAAGUAAUUUGUUUAGUUUCUGUGGUAUGUAUCGUGCAGCACAAAGGCUUCCAAUUAAGCUUAAAAAGACAUUGUUAAGCUAACAGUUGACCUUUAUCAACAGUUAAGCCUGAAUAAUAUUUUUGCUCUCUAUACAUGCCGGUGGUACCAUUAUUUUGUUCAGGUAUUAUGUUAUAUUACUUUAAGGAAAAAAUCAAGCUAUUUGUAUGUUUUUGUGAGAGGGAGAGUGAGAUGAACAAGAGGAGGAAGAUGUCUAAGAAGAGUAAGAGGAAAAGGAAUAACAGAGAAGAACACGAUGAGAAAGAAAAGACAGUGAAAAGCAAUGGACUUUGAAAUAUGAAAAUACUGUGCUUCAUGCUCCAGCUUUUACCUUUUGGAAUGUAAAAAAGAACAUCUAUGUUAAUUAUGUAUUUGUAGAUUUCUAAUCAGAUGAGUAAGUGAAAUUCUUAAUUUUCCAACCAAAUAAACUAAUCAACCUUUGUUUGCAUUUGUAUGUUUUUCCUUUGUAAUUACUAAUUAACUUUUACAUUCUGUAUUUCAAUAUGUAAUUCACACUAGCAUAUGCCGCUGCAGAGCGCGGCCUCCCCACUAGUACUCAUUCAAUAAGUAACAUAUUAUAAACAGAAAACAUAU